rnacentral:rRNA from 1 species
AUUGAACGCUGGCGGCAGGCCUAACACAUGCAAGUCGAGCGAGCGGCGGACGGGUGAGUAAGGUAUGGGAAACUGCCUGAUGGAGGGGGAUAACUACUGGAAACGGUAGCUAAUACCGCAUACCAUCAGAUGUGCCCAGAUGGGAUUGGCUAGUGGGUAGGUGAAAGGCUCACCAAGGCGACGAUCCCUAGCUGGUCUGAGAGGAUGACCAGCCACACUGGAACGGAGACACGGUCCAGACUCCUACGGGAGGCAGCAGUGGGGAAUAUUGCACAAUGGGCGCAAGCCUGAUGCAGCCAUGCCGCGUGUGUGAAGAAGGCCUUCGGGUUGUAAAGCACUUUCAGCGAGGAGGCGUUACUAGCAGAAGAAGCACCGGCUAACUCCGUGCCAGCAGCCGCGGUAAUUC